UCCAGACGGCUACUGGCUACAAGCCUCUGUCUAAAGAACACGACUCAGCCACUGCAGACAAUGACAGGAUGAUCUAAUGGAAUUAAGGCGGCUUUGAGCUGAAAUAGAUCGCCACCUUAGUCCUUCCCUGGCCAUGCUAUGCUAGCUAUUUUUAAAUCCCAUUGACGCAGAAGAACUGGCCUCUUAGAGGGACUAGACACGAGCCAUGGAUGUUAUAAAUGGACGUAGACCAAGCGAUCAGAGGAGGAAUCAAGACAGGACACAACACAUCAAACACAAGGUGUGUCUUCCUGCCUCAGGACAAGCAUCAAACCCACAUAAGGCCAGCCGGUGAAGUUUGUUUCAAGGGAAACAACCAGCCAUGGAACACGAGGCUCAAACAGUGGCCGCCACAGCAGCCUUCGACCGGGACUCAUUCCCCAGGAAAGCCUUGAGGGCGGCCCCAAGAGGAGCAUCGUCUCAUUUCGUGGGGAGCUCCAUUAUCAUCCUGUCAUCGUUUGCGGUGUCCACUUUGGCUAUGAACUGCGGGAAAAAGAUCCAGGAGUCUCGGCACAAAGCUAGUGACAUCUAGCCGCAGCAAAACAGUGUGGACUCAUGAAGAGGCAAAGGAUUCGCUUGAGAGCAAAGAACAGCAACUGGAUGGGAUUUUGGCAAAAUUUGGCAACCAUCUCAAGGACCAACGCCUUAAGACACUGCAAAAAAGGAACGGUAUCUUGUCAUGUCACGAUGCCUCCUCUUUUGUUUACCUCACACCUGUACCCACUAGUCUCCAUGGUAAGAUGUCAAAUAUAGCGAUUGUAGCUAUUUAAAACAAGACAGGGGUCAAACCUCAAAAUGUCUACUGUAUUAAAUGUGUUUAACACAUAAGAGCCAAAAGCCAGCAUUUUAAGCUGAUAUUUUUGUCUCUUAUAAAAUGAUGCUGUUUCUGUAUUAGAUUUUUUUCUGAAUCUAAUCCAAAUGUUUACUGAAGCAAUCAAGUCACCUGCCUGCUUCUACCAUUAAUUGUUUGAUAUCACCAAGUGAAUGGUUUUUCACUCGUAUAGUGCUUUUCCCCCCUCCAAGGCCAACAAGGCACUUCAAAACUUAGCACAUUUAUCUACUGAUAACCAGCAUCAGGAGCAACUGUGGGUUCAGUAUCUUGCCCAAGGUACUUCGACAGGAUCACAGGAGGACGGCGUAUCAAACACGCAACCUUCAGGAUGGGAAACGACCACUCUACCACCAGGGCUAUGUCACCCCCAUCGAGCAAUCAUCUUCAAGAAUAUCUAAAUGUAUUGUGCAACUCAUUUUUACAAUCAGUGAGUGAGGAUUUAUUUCAAUAUCAAGUGUUUUUAGUCAGCCAUGUAAAACUAUUCUAAAAAAGUAAAAUUGCAUUUCCGUGCUGCCACUAGAGAGCAGUAUCUGUAUUAAAAACAAUACAUCUACCAGUAUUUAAAUGUUUUUCUCUUUCAGAAAAGGGAUGUUUAAACAAACAUUAAAAAUACACACACAAACAGGACACAAAUAAAGAUAUUUCAACAGUU